rnacentral:rRNA from 1 species
CCUGGCGGCCUUAGCGCGGUGGUCCCACCUGACCCCAUGCCGAACUCAGAAGUGAAACGCCGUAGCGACGAUGGUAGUGUGGGGUCUCCCCAUGCGAGAGUAGGGAACUGCCAGGC